rnacentral:lncRNA from 1 species
AAGGCUCCUUGUCAGUGCACAGUGAUAGGGACCAAAGUGAGCCACCAUCAUGGCUGGCUGCCUUUAUACCUGUUGAAGAAAACCCCUCAGAGCCAGGCGUGGGGCACACACCUUUAAUAUUGCACUCAGGAGGCAGAGACAGGUGGAUCUCUGAGUUCCAGGCAGCCUAGGGCUGUACAGUGAGACCCUGGCUGGGUAGGAAAUGAAAAACCCUUUAGCUUCCAGACAGGAAAGCCCAGAUGAGGGGCUGUGGAUGGACAGAUGGCCUAGGCUCUGCAUUCCCAGCUCAGAAUCUCAUGUUGAGAGAGAACUCAUUCUAAGAAUGCCAAGGUGGACAUCCCCUAACAUCAGCCACUUCCAAUGCUGUAAGAACUGAGGCACGUGGUGAACUCUGGUCACUUUCUGUCCUGAUGUUUCAGAGAGUAGCUUGCAGUUCUCUACUUGAGCAGAUGAAUUUACACCAAGGCUGCCAGCAUGCACUUUAAGCUCUUACCUCUAUUUUGUUUUUUGUUUUUCUUUGAAUUGGGGUCUCACUCUAGCCCCGACUAGCCCAGGACUCACAGCAAUCCUUAUGCCUUCAUCUCCCAUGUACUAAGAUUACAGACUGAGCCACCAUGCCAGAUCGGCUCUAGCUCCAUUUACCGAAGUGCCUCUACCCUUUUUGGAGUUUGUGCUCCAUUUCUUGUGACUAUCCUUACCAGGAGACCAAAAGCAAGAAGGAUGUGAAUUAGAAUUAAAUAGCUUUGAGCCUCUGGUGCUGCCCUUUCAAAGGUUUUAACCUCUCUAGGGUUAGGGGAAGGAAGAUAAUUCCUAAACUCUACACAAGUAAUUAGGCUUGUUAAUAGCAGGAAAUUGUGAUCCUCUCUGUCUUCCCUGUUUCCAAUCCCCUACUGUUUCUGCCAUCCCAUGGCUCUUGUCUUUGGAAGGCUUUGCCAGGCACUGGAACAUAAUUAGUUGGUCAUCUCUAGUCUGUGGGACUCACCUUUCCUUUCUCUCUUUUCUCCUUCCCAACCACAUAUUUUGUUCUGAUGUGAUUUGUUUCUGAGAAUUAAGUAGGUUAUACUCUAUAUUUCCACUUAGUUUCUGACAUCUUGCUAUGUCAACUGUUACAGUAGCAACUCUGCUCCCUGGCCUUGCUCAAUGUGUCCUUCUGCCAAGGCCAUGUAGGGGUGGGUAGCCCAGGAUUCUUUUCACAGUGUCCUCUUGUUUUUCAAGUUGUCUGGCAGCUUUAUGUACAAUAAACGUUCAGGAAAACAAAAGUUUCUUUUUUAGGAUAAAAUAGUUCAAUUCUGAUGAGCAAGCUUAUAUGUACAUGUGUGUGGAUAUGCAUUUGUGUAUAUAUACCUAUACAGAUCUAUAUUAUAUAUACAAUUUUGUACUAUCAUUUAAAAUAAAGACAUUUCUUAAU